AGGCCAGUGACCCAAACUCAGAAAGAACCCACGUGACUCAGAAUCAGACCUGCAUGCAGCACGCACAGAGGCCGGACCGACAGCGUGUGCUGGAGAAUCCCAGCGGCCUCUCAGUUCCUCUGACAAGUGAUUGAGGAGGAGUGGUCUGCUCUCAAGGGGGCUCAUGAAUCUCCACGCGCGAUGGUCCACACAGAGGGGAAGGUGGCGAAGCAGAGGUCAGACAGACGAGGGCGAGGUCAUCCAUCAACCCCGACGUGCAAGCGUGCCUGGGACAGCGGGUGGGACGUGAGCCAUCUGGCAGCUUCCCUUCUGAGAGCAGAUUCAGAAAGCACACAAACCACAAAGGAGAAGAUGAAGCUGUACUUCCGGAGGAAAAGCAGAGAGAUCUCCCCAACGCUGAGCACCUUCGAGGGACCCAGUGCAUCGGGAAGAGACCAGGUGUGUACCUGACUCAGGCUGGGGCUUCUCCACAUAGAAAGGAGUUUUCCUGGACAAAGAAUGUAGAACUUCGUCUGCUGCAGGGUGGGUG